rnacentral:lncRNA from 1 species
UGGGGGAUGGCUUCAACUUUUUCUUUAGGCUCGUUUUUGAAACCUAUGCCAUGUUUGGUCGAUUUCAAGUUGACAAGAACAUCAUUCAAAUUUUUAUGAGAAGAAUUGAACUUAUGUAGGGUGCCCUUAAGUCUUUCUACUUCAUCUUUUAGAUGCAUGCAAGAAAUACAAUUUUUACUAGAACUCUCGGGUUUGUCGGCGCUUCUCUUGCCGAANN